UUGGUUUAUUGCAUGUUACACCCAAAACACACCCAUGACUAAUUAGGAGAUUAUGGACAACCCCUUUGAACCAUGCACCUGGCGCAUUGACCAUUUUUUGUGCCGUUAAAAUAGCAAAAGUAGAUUUGAGCACACCCUAAAUGCACUUGCGCUAUGCACUUAAGACCGUGCACUUUGGAUCGUUAAAAUAGGGCCCUGUAUCUCUGUCAUCCAAAGCAACUCGAGCCUAAUUAUCAACCCUAAACCUAAAUUUAAUUAUAACUCAUUCGAAAGUCUUGUUCUUAGUCUUUCACACUCAACCUGGAAAACUUUACAGCCAAUUUUAUUAGUUAUAGUGUACCAUCAAACAUAGUCCUUAGUGCAGCUGGCAAACGUCCCUCCCUGGCUACCGUAGGGCUAGACAGGCUGUAGCACCGCCCAUUUCCUGGUUGCCAAUUUUGUUGGUCUGAUAUAUAAGCUGCACUGAAAAGACCUGGUAUGCCGCUGUUCUCCUCUGGCCCCUGGUGCGACAGGUUGUGACUGUUAGCAAGAUAACGCUCUGGUAAGGUAGUGCUUUCAGUCCUGUUUUAUCCACCAGAGGUCCCGUCCCCCAGCAAUCACCUGCUCCCAUGUGUUGAGUCUUCUGCCUGAUUAUUGCGCCAUUUGCACAUAGAGAGCUUACAUCAUGCACUGUAGCACAUGGGAUGGAUGGAUGGACAUCGGUUGAAAAAAACUGAAGUCAAAAAAGCCCUCGUAUACAAAUGCUGCUUAAAGACUGUGGAAACAUAUCAGACAAAAUGGAAACUAAAAUGAGGCUGAAAUGAGAAUCACAAUUUUGUCUGUAGAAGAGCAAGCUUUGAGCAGUAAAAUUUUCCUCUUUAGAGUCUUUUCUGAAGAUUAUUUGAAGAUUAUUUUGCAAAAUGUCCAACUUUUUAGGUCCAAGUUUGAGAUGUAUUCAGGAGCCACUCUCUCUCAUUCCAGAACAUUUCUUUGCUUUGUAAACUUUACUUUGUGAACACGAAGACCACACUAGAGCUGAAUAAAUCAAAAUGCAUGUCAAUACACCCCUAAUCCAUACAUAUGACUGAAGAGGGUCCAGUUAACUCACUUCUAUAUUUCACAUAGAUUAAGAUGAGCAAAUAUCAAAAUGAGGUACAAAACGGCUGAUAAUAAUAAAUGAGUAAUACAGUUCAUAUUGCUACCAGUGAUAAAUGCGCUAACCUUUCUGGCAGAAAUACAGUAGAUAUUAGCUACCACUGAUGAAUGCACUAAUCUUUCUAACAGAAAUACAGUAAAUAUUAUUAGUUACCAGUGAUGCAUGCACUAACCUUUCUGAAAGAAAUACAGUAGAUAGAACUACCUAAUAUCACUAACUUUCCUCACAAAAAGAUGGUUUAUCUUACUAGCUACCAGUGAUAAAAAGCUUUUAAUUCAGCAGACUGGUAGAAAAUUUUGCACUAAAUUUGCCUUCAACUGCUAAGGGGCUAAUGUUAAUGUUAACUUAGCAUUUUCUGCAAAAAUGUAGCUAGUAAGCAAACAUUAGCUAGUUAGCUUAUUAACUUUAAUAUCUUACUAGCUGCCGGUGAUGAGAUGCUUUUAAUUCAGUAGACUCGUUGAAAUUUUUCAACUAAAUUUGCCUUCAACUGCAAAGGCCCUAACAUUAAUGUUUACUUAGCAUUUUCUGAAAAAAUGUAGCUAGCAAGCCAACAUUAGGUAGUUAGCUUGUUAACUUUAAUACUUGGAUUCUGGUUUCUCUGAAGUGAUAACAGAGUAGCUUAGGUACACAGUAACUAGUAAGUAUUUUGUAUUUACUUAAACAGUAUAAUUUCAGUAACUUUA